rnacentral:lncRNA from 1 species
CCCCUUUGGCACCCCUGCCCCUUCUAGCCGCCGAAGAUUUACUCGUCUCUCGGCAACCAUUCACCCGAGGAGCCAAUCAGAGGGCACCUUUCGCCCUGCCCUCGCCGUCAGCGCCCAGGCGGAAGGAUCCCUUGGGCGACGGCUCCGCCCCGCCCCGCCCCUCGCUCCCCCGGGAGGGCAGGCUAAGGGGCGGGGGUUGGGGCGGUCGUGGCGGGCGGGGGCGUGGUCAGGCCGUUUAAGAACGGAGGGGGCGGCGGCAGGACGGUUCACUCUGUGCCGCUGCCUGGGGGCUGUAGUGACCGCGCCGCUCCUGCUGGGGGCUGCCCACGCCAAGGACCUGCCUCUGUGGUCUCCUCCGCCGCUGCCCAGGCUCCACCCCCGACCCUACCCUCACACGGACAAAACGGGCAAAACAAACAAACCCCACAGAAAACAAAAGUGCGAAGUUGUCAGAUUUGGUGUAGGUUUCCC